rnacentral:rRNA from 1 species
GACGAACGCUGGCGGCGUGCUUAACACAUGCAAGUCGAGCGGUAAGGCCCUUUCGGGGGUACACGAGCGGCGAACGGGUGAGUAACACGUGGGUGACCUGCCCUCAGCUCUGGGAUAAGCCUGGGAAACCGGGUCUAAUACCGGAUAUGACUCCAUGACGCAUGUUGUGGGGUGGAAAGCCUUGUGCGGCUGAGGAUGGGCCCGCGGCCUAUCAGCUUGUUGGUGGGGUGANGGCCUACCAAGGCGACGACGGGUAGCCGGCCUGAGAGGGCGACCGGCCACACUGGGACUGAGACACGGCCCAGACUCCUACGGGAGCAGCAGUAGGGAAUCUUGCGCAAUGGGCGAAAGCCUGACGCAGCGACGCCGCGUGA